GAUAAAAGUCCUUUGGCCGAGGGUCACCUCCGUCCUUGUUGUUCACUUGAGAGCAGUGGAGAGGAAAACGGUCCCCACGGGCGGACUUUGGCUUCUGGAGCGGCGGAGCCCAGCGGUCCGGGCCUCCCCGAGCUCCGCCUGGUCCAAGAGUGACUUGGGAGAGCUGGCUCCAGGAGGCGGACCUCGGCCUAGUUUGCUGGCUGGAAUAAAAGUCUAUUUCGAGGCAAUCAAUCAAUCUGCAGAAAACAAAAAUGGAAGUCGAGGUUUGGGAAGAGUUGUCUCAUCCCCAACUUGAGUGGUGCGGGCUGGGGGCGGAGACUCGGGACUGAUGAGAAGCCCUUUUUCCCACCUCAGCUCCUUUCCCUGGACUUCCAGAAGGAAGAAUUACCCUCUUCAGCCCCCUUGUUCCCCAUACCCAUCCUCGCUUGGCCCCCGACCCUUUUCCGCCCCUCUUUUUCCUUUCAAGCGAGAAAAGCCUAAUUCCCUCCCGAGCCAGUGGAGUCGGUCCUCUCGCCCCUCCCGCUCCCACGCGGGUCCCCCCUUCAGCCAUCGCUACUGCCACCACCUCGGUUCCACUCAAUCGAUUUUUGCUGCAUGUCAACACUUAUUACCGAAAAAAGAGAGAGAGAAAGAAAGAAAGAAGAAGGGGAAAGAAAGAAAAAGAAAAAGUCCCGCCUGCGAAUUCUAGGCUGCUGCUCAGAAGCUCCCCUCCCCAGCCCGGAACCUCCUUUUCCCUUGCAGCAUCCCCCCAACCCCCGCCUUCUCAACUUCCCAGCUCUAGGGGACCGCAGUCUGGACAUCUGACCAGGAUCUUCUGGACGCAGCGGUUCUGCGGGAGCCACGCGGCCCAACUCUUAGAAGGACCCAGGGUGCCGCCGUUCCACCUGAACUUGCCUCGCCUUGGGCCUCGCUGAACUGUGGCUGGGGCACAAUCCUGUCCUACCGCCUUCUACUGACCAGAACAGCUGCUUUAUCUUAAUGUUCAUUUUUUUUGGCCGGGCAACAAGGGAGAAGGGCGGUGGCAAGACGUGCUGCUUCGCAUUACCCUGACGCUAUAUUCAGAGGCGCCCGGAGAAGUGGCGGCCCAGAAGGCAACCCACGCACCUCCAAGGACCCCUUUCGUGUCCCCGCACUAGUGUUUGCACGUCCCUCGGGACAACAACACCCGAACCUAAUCCUCAGCUGCCGCCGCACGCCCACCUCUCUCCGGCGUCUCGGAGCCGAAGCGCCAGGCUAGCAUCGCCACCGGGUCUCUGGGGCAGCACAGAGCCGCCCCCAGGUCGCUCCGGGGCGAAGCACCCGCCUCCGCGCUCUCGUCGCCCCCAGCACGCGCCGCUCUCGGCUCAGGCUUCGGCGUCGUGGGCGGUCGGGGCCCAGGCUGAGCUUUGCCUGUUGGCUGUGCCUCAGGGGCGCCUGCCCGCCCGGGCCGCGGACAGCUUGGUUUCUCCGCAGUCUCGGAGUCGGCCCAGGGAGGCCCAGGCCCGAGCAGCGCCCCGCCCCACCCCCCGACUACCCGCCACAACCCUCCUCACCCUCUCUCGGGCUUCUGUGCCUUCAUUCCCGAGCGGCCAUAUACUUUGAAUGGGUCAUCCCUGCCUGCCUCCCUAGAGCUGCCUCUCGAAACCCUGGGGUUGAACAUUAACCAGCCAGAGCUAUAGAGUGGAGUAAAACGUUACAUAUAAAAAUGAAUCAUCUAUCCGAUCCUGGGAGAGAGGACCUAUAGCGAGCUCUGCGCCAAGAGCUACCCUGGCAAUGUCCCCGGCCCAAUGCACAGACCCUUCUGGCAUCCACUUCCUAGAGAUCAUUCGCCUGCCGUCCCGUGAGGUUAAGUGGAGGCGGGGGAAAUGGGGGUUAUCGAACCAGCCGAUCUCCUUGAGUAACCUGACGUUUGAGCUUUCAAACGCAAGCGAAUUUCCUUUCCUUUCACACUUGAGGUACACAGAAAGUCCAGAAACAGCCUUUCGUAUCUUAAAAUUAGCGAGAGUAGCUGAAGUUCUAGGAGAGGCUGCCUACAUGGUCAAGAACCCAAGCUGAUGGGGUCGACUCCGGGAAUCCACCACCAGCCCUGGCGCACUGGAUGGACCCUGGGAGGUAGGGCUAGGUGGGACGUGAGUGGAGCGGGAGCCCUCUGCAAGUCAGGCUGGAGCCUGAGUGGAGGCGCAAGGUGGGCGGUGCAAGGAGCGGGGGUGGGGGCUGCUCCUCCCCCCGGGCUGAACCCUUAUGCCUGGUCCUACGGAAAUCCGAAAUCCGAAGCUCAGGUCCCACCCCGACUCCCCUCUCCUGGGCCCAACCUGUUUCCCACUCUGACUUAUUUAUUUCUUUAAACGUAAGUACUGGCUAGACCCACUUGCCCCGUCAAAUAUACAGAAUUUAUGAAAAGGUAACUACUGGGAAAGAAUUCAAGAUUAGUGCACCUCCUGAAUUCUUAUGCCCUUACCUGGAAACAUUAGCAUGUCGUGGUGUCAGCAAAUCCCUGAAUAGAAAGGUCAUUCUGUUUCCAAAUCUCUCACACACACCCUUUGUCGAACCUCUCCCUUCCCCUCUCCCCUAUUCAAGGAAAGAGAUAAAGAAGGUGCUAGCAAGAGAACGAUGUAAUGUUAUAUAAAACUUUCAGGAGCUGCCAACCAACCUGCAGAGUAAUUCUCCUACUUCUAAGGCAGAUUGGCUUCUUUCUAUCCACAAUAGUUGCUUUACUCAAAACACAGUGCCUGGCCCAUAAUAACCUCCUAGUAAAGAUUUAUUGACCGGGCAACACCCUGACUCCCCACUUUGGACUCUAUCUAUGACCUGCUCAUUGAAGCAGCAUAAUUUUUUUAAAAAGAUUUUAUUUAUUUAUUUGACUGGGGUGGGGAGAGAUAUCACAUGUAGGCAGAGAGGCAGGCAGAGAGUGAGGGGAAAGCAGGCUCCCUGCUGAGCAGAGAGCCCUAUGCAGGGCUGGAUCCCAGGACCCUGACAUCAUGACCUGAGCCCAAGGCAGAGGCUUAACCCACUGAGCCACCCAGGCACCCCGAAGCAGCAUAAUUUUUACUGAGAACCUUCACCCAAAUCUUUGUACUCAGGGGUGUGAGAAAGUGACUUUUGCAUCUGGUGUGGCUUAUGCACCUGUCGUGAGCUGUGCAACGUUCCAUUACUCUCACGGUCAUGUCAUAGCUUCUUCAGAAACCACUUCUCUAGUGUGUUUGCAGCCUGUACAGUGAUUGUGAGAAUUUCUGGUGGGAGGUAGAGGAGGGCAGCAGGGACAUUCAGGGAACAAGGUUCCAGAGCCUUAGCAGGUAUCAGGCAUGUGGCGAAUACCAUGUAUUUGUAAUAGUUGAAUAUUAAUCAGUUCUAGGAGAAAGGACUUUGAGGGUAAGAUGUGGUUACAGAAUAUUCAUCACAGUGCCCUAAGUUCAGAGCACACAGUAUUUUUAUGUGAUUACUAUAGAGCAAUACAACCCACUUUUGUCAUCACCCAACUUUGUGUUACCCCACUUCCCUUGGAAAAAUAGAAUUGACUCAAAUGUUCUACCAGUCAGCUCCCCAGAGGGAAUGAACACAUCAAAGCAAAUAAAUAAAAAGAGACAUGAGUCACACUCAGUUGCCCUGCAGUGACUUAGAGACUCAGAGAAACACAGGUGGGGAAAGGGCCUUUACUAUUAAAGGUGCAGGUAGCUGGGGAAAGGGAUAAGAUAAAGGGUAUUGCAGUGCUCACUCUGUCUUCUCCCCCCACAAAAUUACCAUGUUAUCUGACACUCUCAACCUAUUUGCGUCCUGGGUAACAGACAGUUUGACCAAGAGGUCAUAGACUAGAGGGCUUGGGUGAUUGGAAACAAGUUUGACAAGAAAGGAAUCUGGGUGAGGUGCCACCGUGGAGGUGGAGAGAAGAUGAGGCCAUAGAGGCUGGAGCAGCUGCCAAGCCAAGACUCUGCUGGACUCAGUAGUCACGUGCAAUGCCUUGUUGAGAACGGAGGGGUUUGGAAGAGCUGUCGCCAACACAACUUCAUGGAUGGGAGAAAGUUAUGUCUCUCUCUGCAUCCCUCUUCUUUACCUUCCCUUCAUUUCCUGCCAUCCCAUUUCUUCCUUUGCUGUGGGCCCUUCUCCACCUCAGGAGGCUCUCCCCAGAAUUUUGGCUGCUCCUGGAUUAUCCUCCUUUUGUCCCCUCUUUUGAACUAAGGCUUCCUAGUGUUUACUCUUCCAGAUAUGAAAAGUUGUUUUAUCCAGUCUACUUGUAAACCAUUUGUAUUCAUAAAUAUGGAGUGCUUGCCUGACCAGUAAAGGUGUCAGGACCGAUAAGUAAAGCAUGCAACAUUGGAAUAUGCUUUUUCAAAGCAACAGAGGGACUGUGAACAUUCUUUUAAUAAAGCUAUGCUGGAAACAGGAUGUCCAGGAGGGGUCAGUGAAUAGUGAACUUUUCAUCCCAGGCGGUGUUGCCCUUGGUAUUAUGACCACCAAAGUGGGACAUCUCAGUUCAGUUUACUGUUCUCAGUUUGGAAGUUCCUUUUGUCUGAAACUAUCACUUACACAUAUUGUCAAAAUUAUAUAUUCUAAAAGAACCCAGAUACAGUCCUGUGUAGAGUUUAUGUGCUAAUAUGAAUUCCUUUCUGCAUCUCUCCAAACUAAGCUACUUAUUUUUCUUGUGCUAUAUCCUAUUGUUAUUCACUCAGCAGUAUUUUAUGGUGAUUUCUGUUCCUUUCAUGGUUUGAAAACGCCUUCAUUGUCAUCCUGCAUUUUCAGAUUAGAAUUUAGUAGAAAGAUAUCUUCCUCCACAGAAGAGUUGCCCUAUUUCCAACCCUCAUUGAUUCCUUUUUCUUUCUAACUUCUUCCAACAUCUCUUUUAGAGAUACUUCUACCCUCACGAUUCUCUCCUUUUUACCUUUAAAUUUUCAUUUCUGGGCAUUCAGUGUUCCCAUAACUGAAAACUAUUUUUUUUUUUAAUCUGUAUUACUCUCUUGUCAAUUACUCUCUUGUCAAACAUCAUGUGGGAUGUUUUACCAUGAGUUAAGAUUUUGGGGUCAUUUUCUUUUAAGUUUUUUUUGUUGGAGCCUGGAACCACACUUGCUAAGUAGUAGGUGUUCAAUAAAUGCCUAUUGAUCAAACGGUAUAAUUAAAAACCUUGUUCACAAAAAA